UAUAAUAAUAUUUAAAAAAAGCUAGUCGAUCGCUAACUGUUAUGAGCCGUUACGGAAUAACCAUCGGAAUUCUCUUUAAACACAAUUGAUACUAAAUAUGGCUGAGCUUUAAAUAAAUAUUAAUUAAUCAUUUAUAUUUCAACAAAUAAAUACGUAUUCUGAUUACGUAAAAUGAGUACAAUGUUUAAAAUUAAAUCUAAUAAACUAAAAUUGAUUUUGUUAUUUUAAAAUGUCAUACACUUUACCAUGUUUUUUGAAAUUGUCGGUAGUUUUUUCUUACGAUCCAAGAAACUAAUGAACAGAAGUUUAUUAAAUUACCUCAUCAAAAUGCCAACUAAGCAACAUUUCCGAGCAAAAGAUAGGGCCACAACUUACAUAAAACUUACCGAGUACUCUUUCAAUAAGGAGCAAUAAAGAUAAACAAAACUAAACAAAACAUUGUAAAAGCAUUUUUAAUUUUACAUUAAAAAACAUAAUAUAAUUGAUUGUAAAACUAAUAUACAUUUUUGUACCACCAAACAUUUUGUAACUUAUAAUUAUGAACCAUAAAUAAUAUUUUAGUGUUUUGAAUAUAUUUAAAAUAAACAAGACUUUAUGGGAUAGUUUAAAAAUAAGUAAAAUAAGUAAAAUAACAAAAUAUAAAAAAAUACAAUUAUUCAUGAAAACACAGAAGUAAUAUUAUUUACAAGUUACAACACAUGUUUUGAAACAUUUCUCAUUUUUUAGUGUACGUGAAAUAUGAACAUUCAAAAUGUAUUUAACAAUAUGUAUAUUACAUUUUACAACAACGUAAAUUUGAAGUUUUAAUAUUUAACUAUAAAUUAUUCAAUCAAAUUUUUUGAAAUAACCGAGUGUAAUAAACAACGGAAGGUAAUAAAUGUCAGAGACACAAGGAAAUACCAUUAAUUGUAUUCAUAUUAAUGCAUAUUUUCAUUUUAAAAAUUUAUUUUUUGUCAUUAAAUAUACAUAAUAUUAUAAUAAUAUGUGCGUAUAGUAAUUACAAAGAGACCAUAACAUUUUAAUAACUUUUUUUUUCUUCAUAAUUAUGCAGUGAUUUUCUUUUGAAAAUGUAAUUUAUACAAACAUUUCAAUUUAAUAUCUAUAAUAUGUUUCGGUAAAUAAUAAAACAAAUUAUAUAGGUAGGUACACUAUAAUUAUACUUUUGAUGCUGUAUCGUAUUCAUAUUCCGGAAGUUAUGAGUUUAAAUAUUAAAAAUAAAGAAUACGAAAUAAGUAACUCCUCAAAAAUAUCUUUUACAGUGGCGUCUUAAUCGCAGUUGUAAGUACACAGAUUAAACUACGUAAAAAGAAAAAAAAGCACAUCGUUUGGCUCAUAGUUUAAGACAGACAUGAAUAUCAGCUAUAAGUUAACUCAAAUUUUAUUCAAAUAUUCUAUGGUAGAAUUCGUCUUGUGAAAAAAAAUUAGACAACUGCUGGCGUGUCUUUUGCAAUUUAUGCAAAUAAAAAACAUGUCUAAAUCGUUAAUCUGCUUCUGUGAUCUCAGUAGGUACCUAUGCAUUCUGUUUUUUUUUCACUUUUUAUACUUCUGGCAACUAUUGUAACGCGUAUAUAUAUAUACAGGGUGAUUCAAAAUUUAUGUUACAGCCAUUUUAACAUAUAAAUAUUCAAAUUAGAGAAAAAUGUAUGAUAAAAAAGUUUUUUGAUUUAGAAACAUCUAUUAUGAUUUCACAAUUUUGUAAUUGUUAACAACAUUUUAGGGGGGUUUUGGGGGGUCAACUUUAUAAAUUCAAAUAGAAACCUAUAAUGUUUUUGCAAUCAUAAUGUGGGGGAAUUUUUUUAAUGAAUUUUAGUGAAUGAACAACAUUGAUUAAUGCAAAGCUCUAUGCUUGAGAGGUAUUCAAAGUUUUAGAAAUUGCGUUUUAAAUGCUUAACCACACAACGCACGCCGACAGGUAGCAAAAUAAAUGGUGUUCUCAUUUAUUGCUAUCAUACGAUUCGCAUUUCUUCCGCAAACCCGUAUAUCAGAAUAAAAUUAAUCAUAAUUAUAAUUUGUUUGUCAACGUUUAACCCCAAAUACCAAAUAUGUAUGCAGGAGUGCAAGGGUUGACCUGGGGUACUCCGUGAACCCAGCCAAAAUAAUGUUUCGGAUCUCUGUUUAAAAAAAAUACUUAAAUCCAUAUUAAGUAUUGCAAAUUAUAUUUUCCUUAAAAAAAACCCUAGUCUUUAAUACAUUUUCCACUAGACUUAAAAUUGACAUUAAUUAAUAAACUAAUAAUAGUUUUCCUCGUCAUAUGAACAUUUAAAAUUGCAAUGGAUCAAAACGUAUAAAAUAAAAAAUAUUUUAAUCAAUAUUUUAUUUUGCUGUUACUAAUUGAUUGAAAUACCGUUUAUUUAUAGUAAAGAAAUAUGACAUCGAUAACAAUGUUUGAUCUUAUCGAAUAAUAGCCUAUUUAGUACCUACAUACAUACAUGUACCCGUUUGGAGAUAAUCUGUACAUUUACAAUCCGUAUAUGUAUGUAUUUCUUAACCAUUGCGUUUUAUAAACUCAAACCGAUUUCAUUCGAUUUUAUUAGAAUUUAUACAUAUUUUCUAAUAUUUCGUUAGUCUUUAAAAGUUUUUUAUUUUUAAAAUGUUUGCGGCAUAUGUUUCCAAUAACCCGACUUUUACUGGGUCCGAAUUGGAUUAUUAUAAAAUGGUAGCAGAAGCCGCCGAGUUAAUUGUCAUUGAAAAUGAGGAAUUAAAGCAAAAAAAUUAUGAACUUAUUUCCAAGUCAACUGUAUUUUUAAAUGAAAAUGAGGCAUACGCUGAAGAGGUCAGCAAGUUGGAAUUGGAAUAAAAAGAACUUAAAAAAGAAAAUUUAGAGUUACGCAAUCAAAUAAAUAUAUUGGAAAAGAAUAUAAUUUUUGAAAAAGAACAGGUAGUAGACUCUUUGAAGGACACAAAUAUCGAACCAAUAAUUAAAAAUUCGAUAAUCCUAAUUAAUAAAAUGGUCAGCGAUAAGAUGAACCAAAUUGAGGAUCAAGUUUGUGCUAAGUUUGAAAAUUUGAAUUAAAAUUUAAUAAAAUUUCAAAAUAUAAUUUAGAACUUGUGUAAUUGAA